ensembl:misc_RNA
UUGACAACCCCCGAGACUGAAUUUCUCUAUCCUCUGAGCAGAUCUAGUACAGGUAACAGCAGUAUCAACUUUGCAACCUUGUCACACCAACAUGAGGGAGGGCGGGACUUCAUCUAAAGGUGAGAGGGUAAUUCAGCCUCCAUAUCCAUUCAGUCCUUGGCCUCU